CGUGCACCCAAACCCAAAGGUCGUAUCAUUUCAGUGGUAUGAAAUUUGUCUGGUGUGCAAACAGAAAACGGGUCCUUGUCGCCUUUCUCUGAUGCUGCCGUGCCUUUGAAAGUGAAUCCAAGGGUCCACAAGU